GAUGAACGCUGGCGGCGUGCCUAAUACAUGCAAGUCGAGCGAACAGAUGAGGAGCUUGCUCCUCUGACGUUAGCGGCGGACGGGUGAGUAACACGUGGAUAACCUACCUAUAAGACGGGGAUAACUUCGGGAAACCGGAGCUAAUACCGGAUAAUAUAUUGAACCGCAUGGUUCAAUAGUGAAAGACGGUUUUGCUGUCACUUAUAGAUGGAUCCGCGCCGCAUUAGCUAGUUGGUAAGGUAACGGCUUACCAAGGCAACGAUGCGUAGCCGACCUGAGAGGGUGAUCGGCCACACUGGAACUGAGACACGGUCCAGACUCCUACGGGAGGCAGCAGUAGGGAAUCUUCCGCAAUGGGCGAAAGCCUGACGGAGCAACGCCGCGUGAGUGAUGAAGGUCUUCGGAUCGUAAAACUCUGUUAUUAGGGAAGAACAAAUGUGUAAGUAACUAUGCACGUCUUGACGGUACCUAAUCAGAAAGCCACGGCUAACUACGUG
rnacentral:rRNA from 1 species